AGCGAACGCUGGCGGCAGGCCUAACACAUGCAAGUCGAACGAAGUCUUCGGACUUAGUGGCGGACGGGUGAGUAACACGUGGGAACGUACCUUUUGGUUCGAAACAACCCAGGGAAACUUGGGCUAAUACCGGAUAAGCCCUCACGGGGAAAGAUUUAUCGCCGAAGGAUCGGCCCGCGUCUGAUUAGCUAGUUGGUGGGGUAAUGGCCCACCAAGGCGACGAUCAGUAGCUGGUCUGAGAGGAUGAUCAGCCUCACUGGGACUGAGACACGGCCCAGACUCCUACGGGAGGCGGCAGUGGGGAAUAUUGGACAAUGGGCGCAAGCCUGAUCCAGCCAUGCCGCGUGGGUGAUGAACGCCCUAGGGUUGUAAAGCCCUUUCGGCGGGGAAGAUAAUGACGGUACCCGCAGAUGAAGCCCCGGCUAACCUCGUGCCAGCAGCCGCAGUAAGAC
rnacentral:rRNA from 1 species